CUUAAGAUCCUUUGUUGUCCUAGGUCUCUGGGAAAUGAGCUGAGCAGAGCUCAGGUUCAGGGAUGGGUAACUCCAGCUGACUAUGUGUUCAGGGCAGGGUCAGGGCAGGGUCAGGGCAGGGCAUGUUGUUGUAUGGACAUCACCACCGCAGUAAAGCAGUGUAAUUCAUCAUUCUGAACCAAGCAGAACAUGAAGGCUGUUAUAAACAAACAAUGAAAUUAACCCUUAUGAUAGGUGGGUGUUUUAGGAUGUUGAAAUUCUCUCUCUGGUUCUUUUGUCUCCUUCUUAAACUAUCACCUCCAAUAUACCAUUCCAAACCCUCUCUCCAGUCAAACCAACUACUCUAACUGGCAUGAAACAAGACAUAGGUAGGAUACAGAACCCAUAGGUAGGAUACAGAACCCAUAAUACAGAACCCAUAGGUAGGAUACAGAACCCAUAGGUAGGAUACAGAACCCAUAGGUCCAUAUAAUAUAUAUAUAUAUAUUAUAUAUAUUAUAUAUAUAGAAUAGAUGAAUCGCUAUGAUAAUGUCCAGCCGUAGAAGAGAUUCAGGUUGGGCUGCUAGUCAGUAACAGUUUCUCUCUCUCAGGACGACCAGCAGUAGGCCUGCAG
ensembl:lncRNA